rnacentral:rRNA from 1 species
AGCGAACGCUGGCGGCAGGCUUAACACAUGCAAGUCGAACGCUCGUAGCAAUACGGGAGUGGCAGACGGGUGAGUAACGCGUGGGAAUAUGCCUUUUGGUUCGGAAUAACUCAGGGAAACUUGAGCUAAUACCGGAUAAGCCCGUGAGGGGAAAGAUUUAUCGCCAAAAGAUUAGCCCGCGUCCGAUUAGCUAGUUGGUGAGGUAAUGGCUCACCAAGGCGACGAUCGGUAGCUGGUCUGAGAGGAUGAUCAGCCACAUUGGGACUGAGACACGGCCCAAACUCCUACGGGGGGCAGCAGUGGGGAAUAUUGGACAAUGGGCGCAAGCCUGAUCCAGCCAUGCCGCGUGAGUGAUGAAGGCCUUAGGGUUGUAAAGCUCUUUUGUCCGGGAAGAUAAUGACGGUACCGGAAGAAUAAGCCCCGGCUAACUUCGUGCCAGCCGCCGCCGUAA